rnacentral:rRNA from 1 species
ACGGUCUCAGUUCGGAUUGAAGGCUGAAAUUGCCCUCCAUGAAGCUGGAAUUGCUAGUAAUGGCAGGUCAGCAUACUGCCGUGAAUACGUUCCCGGGCCUUGUACACACCGCCCGUCACACCAUGAGAGUUGGAAAUACCCGAAGCCUGUGAGCUAACAGUAAUGAGGCAGCAGUCGAAGGUAGAGCCAAUGAUUGGGGUGAAGUCGUAACAAGGUACC